ACGGGUGAGUAACACGUGGGCAACCUGCCUAUAAGACUGGGAUAACUCCGGGAAACCGGGGCUAAUACCGGAUAGUUCUUUCCUCCUCAUGGAGGAAAGGGGAAAGAUGGUUUCGGCUAUCACUUAUAGAUGGGCCCGCGGCGCAUUAGCUAGUUGGUAAGGUAACGGCUUACCAAGGCGACGAUGCGUAGCCGACCUGAGAGGGUGAUCGGCCACACUGGGACUGAGACACGGCCCAGACUCCUACGGGAGGCAGCAGUAGGGAAUCUUCCGCAAUGGACGAAAGUCUGACGGAGCAACGCCGCGUGAACGAAGAAGGCCUUCGGGUCGUAAAGUUCUGUUGUUAGGGAAGAACAAGUAUGAGAGUAACUGCUCGUACCUUGACGGUACCUAACCAGAAAGCCACGGCUAACUACGUGCCAGCAGCCGCGGUAAUACGUAGGUGGCAAGCGUUGUCCGGAUUUAUUGGGCGUAAAGCGCGCGCAGGUGGUUUCUUAAGUCUGAUGUGAAAGCCCACGGCUCAACCGUGGAAGGUCAUUGGAAACUGGGGAACUUGAGUGCAGAAGAGGAAAGUGGAAUUCCAAGUGUAGCGGUGAAAUGCGUAGAUAUUUGGAGGAACACCAGUGGCGAAGGCGACUUUCUGGUCUGUAACUGACACUGA
rnacentral:rRNA from 1 species